CACGUUAAUGUAUCAUUCUACAAAACACAUAGAAUAUUUAGUACAAUACAAAAGAAAAAUAUAAGGAGUGUAUAAAAUUAUAUAUAAAGAGAGAAAUACACUGUGAUAAAAAUUAUUUCACCAUUGGAUAUUCAUAUUUAACAACAAUUGUUUUGCAGCUUAAUAAAUAUGUAUAAAUAAUUUAUUUUAUUGGUAAUUGUAAUAGAUAAUAAAUUAUUUACAUGCCUGUAUUAAUAUAUAUACAAUUUUUAGAUUGAUGCUGAUAUUAAGCUUGCUUGUCAGGUUAAAAGAAUUCUAUGCUUAAAAUUAUAUCUCAACAUAGUAUUUCAAAAUGCAGAAAGUCAAUUUUUUAAAACAUUAAGAUAGGGAAGACAAUGAGAAUAAAAAUUAAUAGAAUAUAAUUUUUUCUAUCUCUACUAUUAUUAUUUUCUUGUUUAUUAAUGUUAACUAUAUGAUUUUCCUAUCCAUUCUUUAAUAUUUAAUCUUUUCUUAUACAAAAUUUAUCUAGUAUUUACUUUCUAAUAUCUUACUAAAUUUCCUUUCCCUUCUAUAAAAAAACUGUCUUAUUAAUUCUAUUCAUUUUAUUCUUAUUGUCUUCCAUAUCUUAUUAUUUAUACAUAUUUAUUAAGUUGCAAAACAAUUGUUUUUAAAUAUGACUAUUCAAUGGUAAAAUAAAUUCUAUCAUAGUACGUUUCUCUCUUUAUAUAUAUGUGUGUGUGUGUGUGUGUGUGUAUAAAUAUGCAUAGAUUGUUUGUAACAAUGUACAUAUUUUAUAUAUUAAGCAGAAGGAGGUUGUCAGGAUUUGGAUAAGAACUAUUUUGUGGUUUCGUAGGUUUUAGGGAUUCAUCAUGAAUGACUUGUAAAGAAUUCAUACCUUUUGUAUGUGAGUAAGUUGAAAAGAAAUCUGUAGUUGAAUUGUUUCCUAGGGUUUUGGAAAGGGUGUAUUUGGGAGCAGUUAUCAGAUGUUCUUUAUCAUUUGGAAUCCAUUUGUGUAUUGUGAGUUUUUUUAACAAAGGUAGGGAGGAAAAAAGAAAAGAAAGAUUGAUGACAGGUGAAAGAGCUUUUUUUUUGUCAUUUGCAAUUGAGAAAUUUAUUGUAAUUGAUAAAAAUCAUAACCUGUCAUCAAUUUCAACCAUCUCAGAAAAAACACCCCUUUCCUUCUUCCUUUCUUUCUUUUUAAAAACUACAAUACAUACAUACACACACAUAUAUUCACAUACAUAGACUGAAAAUGACAAAGAACAUCUCAAAUAACCACUCCUAAAACAUCUACUUUCCAAAACCCAAGAAAACAAAUUCAACUCCAGAUUUUUUUUUUCAACUAACACACAUAUAUAUAUAUAUAUAUAUAUAUAUAUAUAUAUAUAUAUAUAUAUAUAUGAAGGCAUGAAUUUUCUAUGAGAAAUUUUUCAUGAUAAAUCCUUAAAAGAGAUGAAAGCCCAAAAUAGUUUUUAUUCUGACCACCUCCUUUUUCUUUUUUCUUAAUAUAUAUAUGUGUGUGUGUGUGUGUGUGUGUGUAGGUGUGUACACACAAACACACACACACACACCACAAGGGUAAGUUAAGUUAUAUACAUUCUUGUUUCUGUAAUUUAUUACAACAAAAGUAGAGGUUGAACAGUUACAUCAUUUUCUGACAUAGUCUCCUUGCUCUUCAGGGCACUUCUUCCAAUGGCCCACAAGCUUCCUUAUUCCAUUAGAGAAGGUUUGCAGCUGGUUGUGCAGCCAUUUAUGCACCACUUUCUGCACUUCUUUGUCAAUGGCAAAUUAACAAUCUCAUAAAGGGUGUUUGAGCAGUUCAAAGAGUGAUAAUCAGAAUGGGCAAGAUCUGGGCUGUGUGCAGGGUUUUCUUACAACCUGAAACCCGAUUUUUCAAUGGUCUUAAUAGUGAGGGUAGCCAUAUAUAGUGGUGACGGAGCAGGAUGCAUUGUUGCCCAACAGCAACAUUUAGACAAUAGACAUCAACGUUUGUUUCGAGCUGCUGGUUUCAGUUUGUUGGCCAGCAUUUCAUUGUAGCCUACACUGUGGUGACUGUAGACUCCUUUUCCAGGUUAUGUUCCAGUAUAGGCCCUUUUGUAUCACAAAAAAUUAUUAGUAUCACUUUUUCUGCAGAAUCUUGAAUUUCCUUUUUGCUGGUGAUUUCAGGUGUUUCCACACCUUACUCUGUCUUUUGGAUUUUGGCUCAAAGUGGUAGGCCCAGGUCUUGUUUUCUGUGACUAUUCUCUUCAAAGAAGCUUUGUUUUUAUCAUUGCAGUGGUCAGGUAACUCUCUUAGCACCCAUCUUGCACAGACUUUAUGGAAGCAAAGCUUGUUGUGGAUGACUAAUUUGCAGAGAAUAUAUCACCUUAUCAAUGGUCAUUCAUUGGUUUGCCAGAACUAUCUUUCGAACUUGUUGAAUCUUCACAUCAGUGGUUGAGGUUGAUAGGCAUUCAGCUCCCUUUUUGUGUUUAACCCUUGUCUGCCUAUUUUAAAAUUUCUUGAUUCACUCAUACACACUUCUAUAUGUUAGAGAGCUCUGCCUCUGUAUUGCACUGAAAGUCCACAGUGACACAUCUUCACACCAAAGAAAUUAGAUCACUGAUCUCUGUUCUUCCUUGGUUCACACAACCAGUGGAGCAACCAUGUUUACACUCUAACUCAAGAAAGAUAACUGGAAGGAUUAGUUAUGCUACCACAAGUGUAUUACCUUUUAGCAUGCGAGUGCUGAAGGUAGUGUGGUCAACCUACUGAGAAUUUUGGCAAAGGUGCAGAUAACUUUUGACUUCCUCUUGUGUGUAUGUGUGUGUGUGUAAAGACAAGAGUAUGGAGGUUACUAAUACAUCAGCAUAUUUUAUUAAAAUGUGUCUGCACAUUUCUGCUGCGUAGACAUCUCGCAAUUGCAUUUGCAUCAGUUAAAUUCAUCUGGUUAGUUAGUAGUCUAUGCAACUUCAUUCAAGUUCCAGUCACUGUCUUGGAAUAAUAAAUGAAAAAGAAAGCCUCUAACAAUACAAAGUGAGAAGUUGGAAAGCCGCCAUAUGUUUCAGGCACAAAGUCCUAUCUUCAGAUGGAUACAGUUAGUUUAUGUGUUCAUAUUUACAUAUAUUCUCUCUCUCUCCUUUUUUAUUAUUUUUCCGUUUCUCUAUCCUUUUUAUCCUUCUAACUCUCAAUAUACUCCUGAUUAAUCAUUAGAUUGUGAAUUGCAGCUUUACCUAGCGUAAAUUUGUAUUCUUUUAAAAUCUUUAGUGAAUAGAUUAUGGAUAGAAGAUCUUAUACUUGUUCUCUACAUGUAUAUUACCUUGUAACUCCAAUCCUGUAAUGAAACACAUCUAGCAUGGAAUUAAAGAUAUUUUAAAUUU